UGCGCAGGCGGCCGUGUGUGUGAGGCGUGAAAGCCCGGGGCUUAACCCCGGAAUUGCACCUCAAACUACAUGGCUAGAGCAUUGGAGAGGGUAGCAGAAUUCAUGGUGUAGCAGUGAAAUGCGUAGAUAUCAUGAGGAAUACCAGAGGCGAAGGCGGCUACCUGGACAAUUGCUGACGCUCAGGCACGAAAGCGUGGGGAGCAAAAG
rnacentral:rRNA from 1 species